UGUAUGCAUGUAUGUGCAUACAUACAUUCAAACACAUUCUUACACAUAAUAUGUACGUCCAUGUGUGUGCGUGAAGUAAGACAUAUAGGAAAAAAUAAAGCACAAUGGCAAGCGGAAAUACUCAGGCUGGCAUUCCGAUCGCAAUUGUCAUGCGUCACCAAGGGGCGUCAACGCCACGAGAAGAAGGAAAAGAAGGUAAAGAAAAUGAGAAGAGGGAGAGUGAGAUGAAGAAGGUGAAUAGGGAGGAGAAGAACAAGAGCGUGAACAAGAAGAUGUGGAGGAGGAGGAGGAGGUUAUGAAGCAACUGCAGGGACUGCAUUCUGGGAAACACAUAGGAAGCACAGGGUGUGACUGAGUUUGCUUGCAGCUGGAAACCUAUUAUUAAGGCGCCGCUGCCAAAUAGCUCCAGACCAGAAACAUCCGAGAAACGAAUUGCCUCCGAGAGAGAACAUUCCGGGACGGCGGGCGGGCACUGGUCGAAACUGCGUCUCGAGCCCUACCGACAGCCGCCCUUCAAAGACCUUCAGAGGGCCAGCGGGAAGCCACUCGCAUGGCGGUGUGCGGCAACUUCAGCGGCCAAAAGACGAGGGGCUUUAUAAGUCGCGCCACCAAUUGGCUAUGGAGGAGUAAGUAACGACAUCAUGAGGAAGAGCCUGACGCUUUGGUUGUUGCUGGCCGUCGGCCUCGUGCUCUCGGCCGCCGUCUCGGACGCUGCGUCGUACCGGGAGCGGCGGAGCCCGGUAUGUCACAUCUGUGAGCCCAUCUGCAAGGAGCCGUGCUAUUACCGGAGCCACAAUGGCUGCAAGGUGAACGUCUGGCGCUGUCCUUCGUUGGCCCUGAGGCCGCCCCUCUUCGCCGCCAGGACACCCCAAUAGCGGCGGCAGCGAACGAGGCGGAAGGGCGGAGGCCUCGCCAGCCACGUCCACGGUCCAAGAAUACUUGCAAUGCAUGGAUCGUCUUCUGCAACCAUCUGCAACAACAGAAGAGGAGUCAAGGAGAUCACUCGUCCCAGCUGUGCGGUCCAUGGAUAAUGCUUACCAUUAAUUCAGAACUUAGAAACAGCUCAAAAUCUUCAAUAAAAUUGAUCUAAUUGACGAAA